GUUUUAAUAGUUUAUGUAAAAAUAUUGAUUUUGUAAAUCAAAGAAAAAUUAUUUAAUUUUUAAAACU
rnacentral:tRNA from 1 species